rnacentral:sRNA from 1 species
GCGGCCGCCGGGAGGGCGCGCGGCGCCGGAGACAUGUCCAGGAGGAAACAGAGCAACCCCCGGCAGAUCAAGCGUUCCCUCGGAGACAUGGAGGCCGGAGAGGAGGUGCAGUUGGUGGGUGCCAGCCACACGGAGCAAAAGGCCAUAGCCCCUGAAGCCCCGAGCCCUCCCAGCGCCGAUGUUAACUCACCCCCACCGCUGCCACCCCCCACAUCCCCAGGAGGCCCCAAGGAGCUGGAAGGACAGGAACCAGAACCCAGGCCCACGGAGGAAGAGCCGGGCAGUCCCUGGAGCGGGCCAGGUAACCACGCGGGUGGUGGGGGCAGCAGCAUCGCCUCCCGGGCAGCCUGGCCUGGCCCCUGGGAGCAGGGCGACGUGGGUGCUGGGGCAGGUGUGUAGGUUGCUGGAGACCCACCAGGCCCAGGCCUGUGCCUAGUCCAAAGCUCAGCCAACCCGUGCAGCUGGUGGUAUCGCUGGAGCUUGGCACCCUCGCGCCA